AUUUACGGAGAUAAUAAGCCUUAUUGAGAUAAUAAGUCUAAAAUAUGGUUGUGUUUUUUGGGUUUUUUUUUUUAGACAGAGUCUCGCUCUGUCACCCAGGCUGGAGUGUAGUGGCGUGAUCUCAGCUCAUUGCAACCUCCUCCUCCCGGGUUCAAGUGAUUCUCAUGCCUCAGCCUCCCAAGCAGCUGUGCCACCACAUCCAGCUAAUUUUUGCUUUUCUUUUUUUUCAGUAGAGAUGGGGUUUCGCCAUGUUGGCCAGACUGGUCUUGAACUCCUGGCCUCAAGUGAUCUGCCCACCUCGGCCUCCCAAAGUGCUAGGAUUACAGGCAUGAGGCACUGUGCCUGGCCCUAAAAUAUGUUUUAAUAGUAAAACUCUAGCUAAUAAUGAGAAAAUUGUUAUUCCUUUCAUUGGCUGAAUGGUUUUUUUUUUCUUUUAGAGACAGAGUCUCGCUCUGUCUGGAGUACAGUGGCACAAUCUCAGCUCACUAUAACCUCCACCUCCCUGGUUCAAGCAAUUCCCCUGCCUCAGCCUACUGAGUAGCUGGGAUUACAGGCACACGCCACCAUGCCUGGCUUAAUUUUUUGUAUUUUUAGUAGAGACAGGGUCUCACCAUGUUGGCCAGACUGGUUUCGAACUCCUGACCUCAGGUGAUCCACCCACCUUGGCCUCCCAAAGUGCUGGGAUUACAGGCGUGAGCCACCGCGCCCAGCUGGCUAAAUGGUUUUUAGAGCUUUUGUUUUUCUUUUGAGACAGGGUCUCACUCUGUUGCCCAGGCUGCAGUGCAGUGGCACAAUCAUAGCUUAUUGCAGCCUCGACCUCCUGGGCUGCCGUGAGCUGUGAUGGCACCACUGCUCUCUAGCCUGGGGGCAGAGCAAGACCCUGUCCAGAAAAAAAAGGAAAGGGGAAGGAGGGAAGCGGGGGAGAGAGGGAGGGGAGGCAGCGA
rnacentral:lncRNA from 1 species